AGUGAACGCUGGCGGUAGGCCUAACACAUGCAAGUCGAACGGCAGCACAGUAAGAGCUUGCUCUUACGGGUGGCGAGUGGCGGACGGGUGAGGAAUACAUCGGAAUCUACUUUUUCGUGGGGGAUAACGUAGGGAAACUUACGCUAAUACCGCAUACGACCUACGGGUGAAAGCAGGGGAUCUUCGGACCUUGCGCGAUUGAAUGAGCCGAUGUCGGAUUAGCUAGUUGGCGGGGUAAAGGCCCACCAAGGCGACGAUCCGUAGCUGGUCUGAGAGGAUGAUCAGCCACACUGGAACUGAGACACGGUCCAGACUCCUACGGGAGGCAGCAGUGGGGAAUAUUGGACAAUGGGGGCAAGCCUGAUCCAGCCAUACCGCGUGGGUGAAGAAGGCCUUCGGGUUGUAAAGCCCUUUUGUUGGGAAAGAAAAGCAGCAGGUUAAUACCCCGCUGUUCUGACGGUACCCAAAGAAUAAGCAACGGCUAACUUCGUG
rnacentral:rRNA from 1 species